AUUGAACGCUGGCGGCAGGCCUAACACAUGCAAGUCGAGCGAGCGGCGGGCGGGUGAGGACUGUGUGGGGAGCUGCCCGUUAGUGAGGGCUAACUAAUGGAAACGGUAGCUACUACCGCAUACUUAUGGAUGAACCCAUAUGGGAUUAGAUAGUAGGUGAGGUAACGGCCCACCUAGGCGACGAUCCCUAGCUGGGCUGAGAGGAUGAUCAGCCACACUGGGACUGAGACACGGCCCAGACUCCUACGGGAGGCAGCAGUGGGGAAUAUUGCACAAUGGGCGAAAGCCUGAUGCAGCAAUGCCGCGUGUGUGAAGAAGGCUUUAGGAUUGUAAAGCACUGUAAGUGGGGAGGCGUUACCCACAGAAGAAGCACCGGCUAACUCCGUGCCAGCAGCCGCGGUAAUUC
rnacentral:rRNA from 1 species